UACGUAGGGUGCAAGCGUUGUCCGGAAUUAUUGGGCGUAAAGAGCUCGUAGGCGGUCUGUCGCGUCGGCUGUGAAAACUCGGGGCUCAACUCCGAGCUUGCAGUCGAUACGGGCAGGCUAGAGUUCGGCAGGGGAGACUGGAAUUCCUGGUGCAGCGGUGAAAUGCGCAGAUAUCAGGAGGAACACCGGUGGCGAAGGCGGGUCUCUGGGCCGAUACUGACGCUGAGGAGCGAAAGCGUGGGGAGCGAAACAGG
rnacentral:rRNA from 1 species